CACACACACACACACACACACACAUACACAUGCACACACACACACACACACAAAGAUCAAGUAAUUCAUUUUUACAUGCUAGGAUGCAUAUCAUGCCUAGUUCACAAAUACAGUGUACCUUCAGGGAACAUAAACUUGAUACAUAAAAUUAAAUUUGUAAGGACAAAAACGAUAGACUUUAUAAGCCAGACACUGUACAGCAGGGGGGUUAAUACAAUUGCUAUUUUGGGAUCAUUUCUGGUGUCUUAUGUAUUUUGAAUGUAUUGUUUGAGACCUCAGUUUGUACAAUGAUUAAUUGUUAACAUUUUAGUUGUAUAACACUAUAUUCUAUUACGCAUAUGGUACAGAUAAAUAUAUGAAGAGUUAUGGUAUACACCUAUAUAGAGUUAUUUAAAGUAGUUUAAAUUAAGUUUAGAAUUGUGAAGGCUUAUAUUUUACUUAUCUCAACUGAUACUUUAUUAACCAGUGUAGCGCUGGGGAUAGCCACUGCCAAAGUAUUUUAUCAAAUAGAGUUGAAUAAAUUUGUUAAAAGACCACUUGCAUAUUUGUACAUCACAAUCAAUAAAUAGAGAACAAUAUACAUUAGGUAUAUAGAAUGCAGCAUAUUUACUAAACAAUCAAAUUUACCUCACUGACAAAAAUGUAAAUUUAAUUUAUAAAUCCUGAUACUCAUAAGAAGCAUUUGUGGACCAAAACUUUUGUUUCUGAUGCUACAUUUGUCAGGCUGUAUAGGUGACAGAGAGUUUAGAGUUUUGGUCUAUUACCAAUAGAAAGAUGGUAAAAAUGUGGUAGAACAUGGUAUGCUGCUGGCACAAAGCAUUGACAAUUGUGAAAUAUGAAAUCAAAGCUAAAGGGUUGUUCAUGCUGAGAAAGAUAACGAUAACGCUAAAGGCAAAAAAGAAGGCAAAAUCACUCUAGCCAAUAUGAGUGAUAACACAUAUCCACACAUUAACUGUAACAAAAACGACAUGAAGAACAAUAUCAUCCGGGAUCACUUUCAGAGCGAUUAUGAGAACGAUACAAAUCUGACAGUCAAUCAGAAUAAUCCUUUAAAUUCUAGACAGCACAUUAAUCAACACAGAUAUAUAUAUAUAUUUAUCAAUGGCCAGUGUGGAGGCUCGUCCACAAAUAUCUUUAUAGUUAUUGUUCCUGGUGUGAACGGCCCUUAAUCUAGACUGAAAUGUGACAUGACAUGAGGUUUUAUUACAAAUGUCAUGGACUAAUGUUAAGACAGUCCAUGGAGUUUUUGGACAAGAGACAUUUAUCGCAACCAUUAUGAAAGUUAUAAAGACCAGUACAAGGACUAGAUCGUUUUGCUCCAAAAUGUCCAUCAGAAAAGUCUCUAAAACCUAAUUGUAUCACUGGAAUUGAUUUAUUCUGUAUGAGCUGUUUGGAAAUGCUUAUUGCAUGUAAAGCCCUUAUUCAGGUUACCCAAAUGAAUCUGAACCGAAUCCAAUAAAGUGCAGGUCAUGUGGAGGUGUGCCCUGUGAAUGUUGGUUGUGAUGGCAUGAAGUCAUGGGCACUCUUUAUACAUAUUCUUGAUGUCCCUUUUAAAACAUUAUUACACUGUGUUCACUGUAAAGAUGUCAUGACAUUUGAAAAUGCUUUGGAAAAACAAUCUAUUCUUUCUGUAACGUCUAAUUUUGUGAUAGUUAAAUGUAUAUUGCUAAUUUUGAGGACAACUACAUGUUAUCAUAGUACUCAGGCAGGGAAACACACACACACACACACACACACACACAUAAACACACAUACUGCACUUGUUUUGUUUGAUGUUAUAAAGAUGUGUGUUGGUGUCAUUGCUUAGGCAUUUGUUUAAAGCUGCUAACAACUAACACAUUCAAUUAAAUCAAUAAUUGAGGGUGUAUGUGGCUUAUUUGUACUAAAACCAAGCACAGCACAGCCCAAUGUCAACAACAACAACAACAACAACAAAAUACAAAUUUACCUCUGACUUUUCUAAAAUGAAUAAAUGCAUGCCAAUUUCAUAGAUAACAAAAAUGUCUAAAGUAAAACAUUUGGCAUUAUACAACACAUAUCCUCACCCCCUUACCCAAACCCAACCCACCCUCUCCUACCCCCUCUCCAUGGGUCUCAGACUCCAGGGGGAGCCUUAGAAACUAGCCCCAGCCCUUUGCCUAGCUGUCUAUGUGCGCUCAUGCAUGCUUCUACUGCUACCUGUGUCCGGUUGUGGCGGAGUUGGUGGCAGAUGAAAAUAGCUUGUGCUGCAUUGUCACGAAGAAUGAUCUGUAGUCACGGACAUAAUUUGAAAUAAAAAGACAAAAUGAUUUGGAAAAAA